AUACGAAAGGUGCAAGCGUUGUUCGGAUUUACUGGGCGUAAAGAGAUCGUAGGUGGUUUGUUAAGUUGGAUGUGAAAUCCCGGGGCUCAACCUCGGAACUGCAUCCAAAACUGGCAGACUUGAGUUCGGGAGGGGUAAGCGGAAUUCCGUGUGUAGCAGUGAAAUGCGUAGAUAUACGGAGGAACACCUGAGGCGAAGGCGGCUUACUGGACCGAUACUGACACUGAGGAUCGAAAGCGUGCGUAGCAAACAGGAUUAGAAACCCUAGUAGUCC
rnacentral:rRNA from 1 species